GCGACCUUACUUGAACAUGAUUUGUUUUAUAGGCUCGUAUAACUGUACCUUUGAUUUCUAAGGAGAUAGGAAACCAUGUCUGGUGGAUGAAUCGUGGCUACCUUGCCAGGGUGUGAUUAACAACGCCUAUGUCAGAUUUCUAUCUGGCCUUGGUGUGGUAGACGAUUAUUCAUGGUCUGACUUUGGUCCAACUUAGAUGGCUAGACAACUAUCUGGCAGACU